rnacentral:lncRNA from 1 species
UAUGAUAAGCAAUAAAAAAAGGAUGGUAACUUCAAUAUGAAGGAUCCUUAAUUUGGUUGUGUUGAUUACCAUUUAGCAUUAACAUGAAAAAAUAAAACUAUAUUUUAUUGACUACUAAUUCCUAACAUCCUUCCAACUCCUAAAUUAAGUUUUGGUAGCAGAAUCUUGGAUGCAUACCACACAAUGAGCAAAAGCUGAAAUAAGUAAAAGGGAUGCCU